rnacentral:rRNA from 1 species
GAUGAACGCUGGCGGCGUGCCUAAUACAUGCAAGUCGAGCGAACGGACGAGAAGCUUGCUUUUCUGAUGUUAGCGGCGGACGGGUGAGUAACACGUGGAUAACCUACCUAUAAGACUGGGAUAACUUCGGGAAACCGGAGCUAAUAUCGGAUAAUAUUUUGAACCGCAUGGUUCAAAAGUGAAAGACGGUCUUGCUGUCACUUAUAGAUGGAUCCGCGCUGCAUUAGCUAGUUGGUAAGGUAACGGCUUACCAAGGCAACGAUGCAUAGCCGACCUGAGAGGGUGAUCGGCCACACUGGAACUGAGACACGGUCCAGACUCCUACGGGAGGCAGCAGUAGGGAAUCUUCCGAAAUGGGCGAAAGCCUGACGGAGCAACGCCGCGUGAGUGAUGAAGGUCUUCGGAUCGUAAAACUCUGUUAUUAGGGAAGAACAUAUGUGUAAGUAACUGUGCACAUCUUGACGGUACCUAAUCAGAAAGCCACGGCUAACUACGUG